rnacentral:rRNA from 1 species
GACAGAGGGGGCAAGCGUUGCUCGGAAUUACUGGGCGUAAAGGGUGCGUAGGCGGCGCGGUAAGUCGGGUGUGAAAUCUCGGGGCUUAACUCCGAAACUGCAUUCGAUACUGCCGUGCUUGAGGACUGGAGAGGAGACUGGAAUUUACGGUGUAGCGGUGAAAUGCGUAGAUAUCGUAAGGAAGACCAGUGGCGAAGGCGGGUCUCUGGACAGUUCCUGACGCUGAGGCACGAAGGUCAGGGGAGCAAACGGG